AUCUGAACCCAAAUAUAUGCAACCCUAAAGCCCAGGAUGCCUCACUAGCUGCCUUGAGAGACAACUCCCCUAUUUGCCUCUUACUACCUCAAUUUGCUCGCAUUGAAGCCCCAACCUGGAUACCACCUCUUCCAGGAAGCCUUCUCCCUUCCCACUCCUGCUUCCUCUGCACCACUGUACACCUUGAACAGCCUUCUAAAUAUUUUACUUAUCACAGCUCAUGACUCAGUUCUCAAGGAACAAAUGGUACUAGAAAAAGUCCACUGUAAGUAAGCCUAUUUUAAAUGAGAAUCAAAACUUCUUAGUUAACAGUAUGGAAAAAAAAUUAGGUUUGGUCAAAACUUCAACUUGAAAAAUAAAACCAGAAAUUAGGAAAAUAGGUUUGCUUUACUGUUUAUUUAACCAGGUUAGAUUACAAUUGGAACUAUGUACCAAUGGGAACUGCCUAAUGGUCUGACAUUUUAUAUGACAGCAACGUAAAACGUUCUCCACUUCAUACAACAAAUGUCUCUACUUCCCAUUUGACUUUCAAAGCAAGCUUAUGAUUGUCCUUUUUUAAAAAAUAUUCGGUCUGUGUCAUCCGCCAUUUUGUAAGAAGCAAGGUGGCCUCCACGUUUCCUGAGCGCCUUCUUCGCUUCGGCCUCGACCGCCCCUUGACCACAGACAUGUCUCGAGAUCGGUUCCGGAGUCGCGGCGGAGGCGUUGUGGCUUCCACAGGCGCGGAGGCGGCGGCGGCCGCGGCGACCUCCAGGACUUCCGUUCCCCGCCGCCCCGCGUGAGCCUCAACCAGGAGCGCGGCCCGAUGGGUCCCGGCCAGGGCCAGAGCGCUGCUAAGCCUCCGUCCGAUCCCGCCACCGCAUCCACACCAACAGCAGCAACAGACACCGCCGCGGCCGCCGCCGCCGCAGUAGCCGCCGCCUCAGCCGCCGCCACCUCAGCAGCCGCCGCCGCAGCAGCCGCCACCGCAGCAGUCGCCGCCGCAUCCACAGCCGCAUCAAGCAGCCGCCGCCGCCGCCACCGGCGCAGGACUCCUCCACGCCCGUGGCUGCUCGGGGACCCGGCCCCGCUCCCGGAGUAGGCAGCGCGCCGCCAGCCUCCAGCUCGGCCCCGCCCGCCACUCCGCCUACCUCGGGGGCCCGGCCAGGGUCCCGGCCAGGCCCGACCCCGCCGCCCGCAGUCACCUCGGCCCACCUCUGGGACACCGCCACGCACCCCGCCCUACCACACCUCCUCAGGCCGGAGGCCCGGGCCGGGGUCCGGGGCCUAAGCAGAGCCCAGGCCCGGGCGGUCCCAAGGGCGGCAAAAUGCCUGGCGGCCCGAAGCCAGGUGGCGGCCCAGGCCUAAGCACUCUCGGCCGCCACCCCAAGCCGCCGCAACGAGGCGGUGGGGAGCCCCUUGGAGGCCACCUGCAUCACCCGCCCUGCCACCGGCAGCACCACCAGGGUCCCUGGCCCAGCGGGCCGGGCGGCAGCAGCCAGGGGAAGAUCUCGGACUUGGAGAGGUUUAAAGCCAACUUAUCUCUCUUGAGGAGGCCUGGAGAGAAAACUUAUACACAGCGAUGUCGGUUGUUGGGAGUCUACCUACUCGUAUCACGGAGGAUGAAUCAAAAGACUAUUUGCUAAAUGUGGAGAACCAGAAGUUUUUAUCAACAAAGGCAAAGAAUUCGGAUUUAUUAAGCUUGAAUCUAGAGCUUUGGUGAAAUUGCCAAAGCUGAACUCAAUGAUACACCCAUGGGAGGCAGACAGCUUUGAGUUUGCUUUGCCACACCUGCUGCUACCCUUUCUGUUCCUAAUCUUUCAACUUACAUUUCCAAUGAACUGUUGGAAGAAGCCUUUAGCCAGUUUGAUCCUAUUGAAAGGGCGGCUGUAAUAGUGGAUGAUCGUGGAAGAUCUACAGGGAAAGGCAUUGUUGAAUUUGCUUCUAAACCAGCAGCAAUAAAGGCAUUUGAACGAUGCCGUGAAGGUGUUUUCUUUCUGACAACAACUCCUGGUCCAGUCAUUGUAGAACCACUUGAACAACUGAUGAAGAUGGUCUUCCUGAAAAACUUGCCCAGAAGAAUCCAAUGUAUCAAAAGGAGAGAGAAACCCCUCCUCAUUUUGCCCAGCAUGGCACAUUUGAGUACGAGUAUUCUCAGCGAUGGAAGUCUUUGGAUGAAAUGGAAAAACAGCAAAGGAAACAAGUUGAAAAAAACAUGUAGGAUGCAAAAGACAGAUUGGAAAGUGAAAUGGAAAAUACCUAUCAUGAACAUCAGGCAAAUCUUUUGCACCAAUAUCUGAUGAGACGACAGGAAAAAUUAAGACGUGUGGAAGAGCUUCACAAUAAAGAAAUGCAGAAACGUAAAGAAAUGCAAUUGAGGCAAGAGAAGGAACGACGUAGAAGAGAGUAAAAGAUGGUGAUUCGUCAACAUGAGAUGAAAGAACAAAUGAGGCACCAAAGAGAGGAAAGUUACAGCCGAAUGGGCUACAUGGAUCCAAGAGAAAGAGACAUGAGAAUGGGUGGUGGAGGAACAAUGAACAUGAGAGAUCCCUAUGUUUCAGGAGGCCAGAAAUUUCCACCUCUAGGUGGUGGUGGUGGCAUAGGUUAUGAAUCUAAUCCUGGAGUUCCACCAGCAACCAUGAGUGGUUCCAUCAUGGGAAGUGACAUGCAUAGUGAGCACAUUGGGCAGGGAGGUGUGGAGCCUGUGAGUGGACAGGGUCCUACAGGAAUGGGGCCUGGAACUCCAACAGGAUAUGGUAGAGGGAGAGAAGAGGCCCAAACAAAAAACCCUGAUUUUAGAUGUGAUAUCUAGGCUUUCAUUCCAGUUUGUUUUUUUCUUUUGUUUAGAUACCAAUCU